UACGGAGGGUGCAAGCGUUGCUCGGAAUUAUUGGGCGUAAAGGGCAGGUAGGUGGUCUCGUUUGUCUGGGGUGAAAGCCCAGGGCUUAACCCUGGAAGUGCCCCAGAAACGGCGAGACUCGAGUACUGGAGAGGCAAGUGGAAUUCCCGUGGUGUGAGCGGAUGAAUGCGCAGAUAUCGGGAGAACACCAGUGGCGAAGGCGGCA
rnacentral:rRNA from 1 species